rnacentral:lncRNA from 1 species
CUCUUUUGCAAUAUUUUACAUCGCUGUAUGAACAGGUGCUGCAGGAAGCGACACCAUCUAAGCGAUCCAAAUUACGUGAUGUCAUCGAGGGUGCUCAGAGUCCAGUUCCUGGGAGAGAAGCGAGGGUUAACAUCGUGCGGAACGGGUUGGUAGGGCUGCCGCGACUGUCCAGCGCUCCGGGUCAAAGGCAUUUUAACGGUACUCAUUGAGAUGCAGACUGCCGCCGUCUGCCAGCUGGGGCAAGAAUGAACGGAGAGGGAUGGAGAUGGGCGAAGAAACUUACUAAUGCGGCCUUUGUAACAUUCUGAGACAAAUUACUUCUUUUCGGGAUCAAGAGGGGAAGAGGGGGAAUUGCAUUUUAAUGUAGCUUAAGUAGAGAUUCAAUUACAUGGAAGAGGGAGGCACUUGAAGGUACAGCCUGUACCCAGUGAGUGUCGAGCCCCAGAUACACGGAAAGGCAUGUUCUUUGCAGCUUAAUUUAAUUUGCGACAGCCUAAGUUCACACCGUCGUGAAAGAUGUCACAGUUGCUGGUUUUUGCUUCCUUGAUGUCCGUGGACAGUUUAAGAAAUGAAACCCCGUGAACUGCCCUGGUAUAUUAAUUCACACCUUGUCACUUGAACGGGAUUGAAUUUGCAUUCGUGUUUCCUGAUACUACAGUAUGUCAAGCAUGUUCUGCCACAUAUGGAGCCACCGUACGAGAGCCGUUUACUGAAACCGGAUGCUGUCUGGAACUGGAGUAUAACCGAGCAAAGCAGCCAUGCCCUGGGUGCAACCAAAGCAUCAUGUGAUGCUGCUGCAGGGUAUCACAGAGAGCUCAGCGAAGAGGAACCAUUCUGCGUGGGAGACCGGCCUUGGUGUUGUAAGGAUGAAAGUUCUUUGCUCAUCCCUUUCUGCUGCUGUGUGUUUUGAGCUGGUCUAUCCAGAAGCUUUGAAAUAUCUCCUCAGCUCCAUCAAAAUCAAACAAUGACCAAAUGGCCAUCAAACAAGACAAAUGCUUAAUUCACAUCCCCGAGCUAAUCUGACACUCAACCAAAGUGCCGUGGCUCUAUGAGUGGCCUAAAUUUUUGCUGCUCUUGGGUUUUCUACAGAGAAGUCAAACCCAGCCAUUAAUUCUGCUUCUGUAUUUUUCAGAUGUUCAUGGACGUCCAUGGUUCUGAUCUGCGAAACUGUCAGCUCUGGGAUGUUAAAGAGCCCCGGCAUGUUCAACAUGUACUUUCUAAGUAGAUUUCACAGUGCCAGUUUCGAUCAGUACUGGGGCAGAUGCUUCUACCAUGCACAGUAUUACACGUAAACUCCUGUCAGAAUAACCUGCAGUAUAUUAGCCAAUAAAUGUCUGCAGACCUUUCUUAUUUAUCA